UUGAUGACGUCACUCCCCCCGGCGUUCCUAAUGGAGUGUCCCGCGACGAGGUUCCGUCCAUAAGAGGCUCGUGUCGACUUUUCAGUCAAACCAUCAAGCGGCUUCUUAUAAAGCCGAAUGCGCACUCUUGAGCGCUUUGAUGGCAACGUCAAGAACGGCUUCCGGCGCAUCACGACGAGAAAAGGUGACGGCGCCCCGUGUCUUUGUCCAAAGCCGACUGACUUCUGAAGGUCGUGCUCGACGGCGGUUUAAGUCGCGAGCUGGUGUCACGCCCGUCGCGCCCUUGUUCGAGUCCCGCCGGGCCGCAUCGGCGCCUUUGACGUGCUUUGUGAUCCAAGCCCCUUUAUGACCGCGGCGCACAGCACAAGUCUCUAAAACACAGACUUCAUGCAACCCUUUCCGUGCGGGAAAUAAGCAUAGGAGCCUAUUUGCAGCCAACAACAACAUGAACGGGGAAAAGUUUCACCCUUUGCCCUUCCUGCCCACUAACAUCCAUCCCGUUCCAGAGACCAGAGACUUCACCCCCUUUAUGGAAGGCCGCGUGCUGCUAAAACCUGACACGAAGGCCGUCAGAAACGGGGCGAUGCCCAUGAGGAGGUUUUGCGGCACCCUCCCGAUCGUUGGCGAGCCCAAACAACUCCCGGCCGAGGUGGCACAAAUCAAACCGGAGACCAAAGAGCUGAAGGCAGGCGUCGCUGAGACCUCCCAAAAGGUUGCGCCUGUACGAAGGACCAAGUGCCAGAGCACAAAGAAACAAGAGACCCUCCCCAAGGAGCAGAGAGCGGAAACCGCCGAGGUGGUAGCAAAUGUUCUGCCGGUCAAACGGACUAGCAAACGAAAAGCAGCGACGAAAGCCGAGCCCCUCACAAAGGAGCAACGAGUCGACGUCACCGAGGUCUCGGCCAAGGAAUUGCCCGCUAAAAGGCCCAGGCGCAAGUCCAACGCCAAAGCGGAGACCCUCGGCGAAGAACUCACCACCGAGUUGUUCAUCAAGGCCCUGUUGGCUAAGGUCCUAAAAAGCAAAUGCAGCGCGAAACGCAAAGUGCCCGUCGCCGCCAAGAAGCCGCAGGUGGAAGUCGCCGAGGUGUCCGUCAAAGCUCUGCUGGCCAAGCUGACCACCAAGAGGAAGUCCAGCACCAAAGCGGAAGGACAAAAGCCAACCAGGCAGCCUGUCAAGAAGGUGACCCAGAAGGCCCCCACCCUGCCGACCUGCCCCUGCUGCCCGCCCGCCUUGCAACAAGCCGACACCACCCGAACGCUGUUCGUGCAGAAGUAUCAGCAGCUGGAGAAGCUCGGCGAAGGAGGCUUCGGAUCCGUCUACGCCGGCUACAGGAAAAGCGACUGUUUCCCCGUGGCCAUCAAGUACAUCCCCAUAGAAAAGGUCGAGAGCGUCUUUUUGUACAUCAACGGAAAAGUCCAGAAGGUGUUCUUGGAGGCGUGGCUCAUGCAGCAGGCGUCCUCGCUAAAGAAGGCCGAUGGGUCCUCCGCAGUAGUCCUGCUGCUGGACACGUACGACCUGGAAAAGGAGCUGGUUCUGGUCAUGGAGAGGCCGGUACCCUCUGUGGACCUCUUCACGUUCAGAACCAAAUACAAACUGGGACCGUUAGAGGAGUAUGAAGCCAAGAACAUCAUGAAGCAGCUGGUGGACGCCGCCAUCAAAAUGCACGCCGUCAACGUCUUCCAUCGGGACCUGAAGCAGCGGAACAUCCUGCUGGAGGCCACCUUCAGUCUCCCGCGAGUGCGCCUCAUAGACUUCGGCUGCAGCUGCUUCGUCAACGAGGAGCCUUAUCACGAAUAUGCCGGAACCUUGCGCUACGCCCCUCCAGAGUACGUCCUCAAGAGGCCGUACAAGGCCGGCCCGGCCACCGUAUGGCAACUCGGCGCUCUGCUCUUCGAACUCCUGGACGGAACCGAACGUUUUGACACCUUCAUGUUCCUCAUCAACGGCCUGACGUUGAACCGGGUGGUCUCCCAAGAUUGCAAAGACUUCUUAUGGAUAUGCCUGACGUCAGACACGGACCAGCGGGCCACCUUAGAGCAGAUGCAGUGGCAUCCGUGGCUGCUCUGAUUCCAAAUAAUGAAGUACAAAGACUUUUGUCAGUGUAGAGAGACUUAUGGGGGCAAAUCAUGAACAGCUCAUUGAUAUGAGCUUUUUUUUUUUUUUUUUUUUUAAAUUUAUGAUAAAACAUGUUUCCGGAAGCCAAGAAAGAGGACUUACUUGACCUAAACUUAAUGCAUUCAAGUAUUUAUGCUGGCAUAACUACACGUAUCAUUAUUAAACGUUUGAACUGUCGUGAUCAAUGUAAAAAUGUUUAAACUAGUCAUGACUGAAGUGUCAAAAAUGUUCACAUUUGCAAAUGUACUUGAAGGUGUCACGUCUGAACCCUUCCAGUGUUUUAUUUUUCCGAGUGGACCUGAAGGCGUCAUCACUCCACCCCUGGAAAGCUAGCCGACGCUAACAUCCACGGCGGCAUACCAGCACAGAAACUACACGCUUGUGGCCCAUUUCUCACUUUUAAACGCCACCGACAACAACUCGAACUGUCAGCCGGGUGGUGAUACUAGUCCGGUUUUCAUUUUUGGAUCUUAUUCUGCUGACGACUUGACAGCAGGACUCGCUGUUCGGGGACUGGCUAACGACACUUGGCUAAAAACUCCUGUUCGGCUGACGACCACCCACGGCACCACUUACUGGACUUCACUUGUACCUAUCUGAUGUGUGGAUUUGUGGAUCCACACCCCGGCCCUUUAAGACAGCUCUCGAGCUCGUCUCAACAGUCUCGCUGUGACGUCGACGCCCAACACACCUGCUCCUAGGACCAACCCUUCC